rnacentral:tRNA from 1 species
GGGCCAGUGGCCCAAUGGCUAAUGCGUCUGACCAUGAAUUAGAAAGUUGUAGGUUUGAUUUCUGUCUGGCUUG